rnacentral:rRNA from 1 species
CCUACGGGGGGCAGCAGUAGGGAAUAUUGCUCAAUGGGGGAAACCCUGAAGCAGCAACGCCGCGUGGAGGAUGAAGGUUUUAGGAUUGUAAACUCCUUUUGUUAGAGAAGAUUAUGACGGUAUCUAACGAAUAAGCACCGGCUAACUCCGUCCCAGCAGCCGCGGUCAUACGGAGGGUGCAAGCGUUACUCGGAAUCACUGGGCGUAAAGAGUGCGUAGGCGGGGUAAUAAGUCAGAUGUGAAAUCCUGUAGCUUAACUACAGAACUGCAGUUGAAACUGUUACUCUGGAGUGUGGGAGAGGUAGGUAGAAUUCUUGGUGUAGGGGUAAAAUGCGUAGAGAUCGAGAGGAAUACUCAUUGCGAAGGCGACCUGCUGGAACAUGACUGACGCUGAUGCACGAAAGCGUGGGGAGCAAACAGGAUUAGAUACCCGGGUAGUC